GUCCCCGUGGCCUAAUGGAUAAGGCGCCUGCCUCCUAAGCAGGCGAUUCCGGGUUCGAGUCCCGGCUGGGAUU